CCAAUAGCGUAUAUUAAAGUUGUUGCAGUUAAAAAGCUCGUAGUUGAAUUUCGGGAUUGACGUGAUGGUCGUGCCUUAAGGGGUAUGAACUGUCGCAGUUGAUUUCUCACCUUCUGGAGAAGCAUGAUGUCCUUAAUUGGGUGUCAUGUGGAACCAGGACCUUUACCUUGAAAAAAUUAGAGUGUUUAAAGCAGGCAUUUUGCUCGAAUACAUUAGCAUG
rnacentral:rRNA from 1 species